rnacentral:rRNA from 1 species
CGAAAGCCUGACGGAGCAAUACCGCGUGAGGGAUGAAGGAUUUUGGUCUGUAAACCUCUUUUCUCAAGAAAGAAGUUCUGACGGUACUUGAGGAAUAAGCAUCGGCCAACUCCGUGCCAGCAGCCGCGGUAAUACGGGGGAUGCAAGCGUUAUCCGGAAUGAUUGGGCGUAAAGCGCCUGUAGGUUGUUUAUUAAGUCCGUUGUUAAAGCCUAGGGCUUAACCCUAGAAAAGCAAUGGAAACUAGUAGACUAGAGUAUGGCAGGGGUAGAGGGAAUUUCUAGUGUAGCGGUGGAAUGCGUAGAUAUUAGGAAGAACACCAAUGGCGAAAGCACUCUACUGGGCCACAACUGACACUGAGAGACGACAGCUAGGGGAGCAAAUG